AUACCAUGUUAUUUAAUAUAUUCAAUACUAUAUUCAAUACUAUAUAUUCAGUAUACUGUUAUAAUUAUAAGAGGAAGACCUUAGGCAACCUUCCUCGCAUGAAUAAGCAAAUAUUUAGAGAGAUUAAAGAACCACGGGAAACGCCUAGUACCACAAACCACGCAAACAGGACAUAGUUUUGUGGUUGAUAAACACUGCUAGAACUUGCUUUGACAAACAUAUUGCGUAGAGAAAAUUAGUCAUAGUUACAGAUUUCUUCCUCUAAAAUUUAUUAUAAAAGCUGGGCACAACCUGAGAGUCGGGAGGGGAGAGUGAAGUGAGAAGAGCCAUUUAGGCUAAAAUACUUCAUAAGCCAACAAAGGCUGAAGUAUAUAAUUAAAAGGCUAGAUAAUUAAGCCUCGUCAAGUAAACUGAAGAACAUUGGAAUAUUGUGGAAUAAUUAUUAUUAUUAAAGAAGACGGAAUACAAAGUAUAAAGAAUAAAGAUUCAAAGUUGUGCUCAGCUCAAACAAAUAGAGAGAUAAGUUGAUAUAUUAAGAUUACUAUAUUAUUAUAACAUUAUAGAGACGCUAAUUCAUAUUGUUGAAAGUAAAUAAAAUAUAUAAAAGGUAUAAGGUUUCAUGCUAUUUGUGUUACGGUAGCGUUAAUAUAAUUUGAACCCGAAGCCUAAAGGUUGAAAAUAUACCUAAUUGGAAAAUAUAUUUGACGCAUAAAUAACGCACCAUAACAGUUGGGGGCUCAGGCGGGAAACAGUAAAACCAGUCUAAACAGUUGCAUGCUCCAAAAGAAAAUUAGCAUUUCAAGUUAAAACAAAUAAAAAUUGGAAAGUCAUUUCAUUGAUAAGAUAUUAAGCGGAAUUUGAGGAAUACAUUCUGCAUGCGUCAUAGUGUUAAGUGUGAAACCAGAUACCUUAAUUGAUCUGAAUUAAAUAAAGCGGUAAAUAUACGGUAAAUAUGAAUUAAAAUUGUGUAUGUUAUUAAAGUUAUUUUAAAGUAGAGGAUUAUAAGCAAAUAAGUAAAAUUAAAGAUUAAGCAAAAUAUAAGUAAAGUCAAGCGGUAAAAUUUUAAGUAAAUCUGAGCAUUUGGAAUUGUAAUCGUAAGUUAAAAAUUUAAAUGAAUAAAAAUACUAAACGAAAAAGUAUAGCAGUAAACAUAUUUAGUCUGUCUUGAGCGCAACACAUCUGGUAUAAGCAUUUGGCAUUUGCGUGAAUGCGUCACUUGAAAGGUCACAUUGUCAAUGGAUUACAAAUUAAUGGUCAUGAAUUGAUACAUAUGGAUAUUUUACAAGAUCAAGACGGAACAUUUUACAGACAUUACAGCUUUAAUUAUGUUGAUGAUAUAAUUCGAAGCUAUUAUCAAGAUUUUAUUAAGAGUUCAAUAUAUUACAAGAUCGAGAUGCUGAAUGUAACUGGAUAUUCUCUGACUCUGGAUUACGCAAGUUAUGGUGAUAACUGGAUUUAUAAUUGGACACGUCUAUAUAAACUGACAUGAAUUCUGAAUAACGUUACUAAUGAGAACUUUCAAGACAAAACUACAAACUUUCUUUCCUUUAAGGGGGAGGGUGUAACAUGGCAGUGCUAUACCAUGUUAUUUAAUAUAUUCAAUACUAUAUAUUCAGUAUACUGUUAUAAUUAUAAGAGGAAGACCUUAGGCAACCUUCCUCGCAUGAAUAAGCAAAUAUUUAGAGAGAUUAAAGAACCACGGGAAACGCCUAGUACCACAAACCACGCAAACAGGACAUAGUUUUGUGGUUGAUAAACACUGCAAGAACUUGCUUUGACAAACAUAUUGCGUAGAGGAAAUUAGUCAUAGUUACAGAUUUCUUCCUCUAAAAUUUAUUAUAAAAGCUGAGCACAACCUGAGAGCCCAGAGGGCGGAGAGUGAAGUGAGAAGAGCCAUUUAGGCUAAAAUACUUCAUAAGCCAACAAAGGCUGAAGUAUAUAAUUAAAAGGCUAGAUAAUUAAGCCUCGUCAAGUAAACUGAAGAACAUUGGAAUAUUGUGGAAUAAUUAUUAUUAAAGAAGACGGAAUACAAAGUAUAAAGAAUAAAGAUUCAAAGUUGUGCUCAGCUCAAACAAAUAGAGAGAUAAGUUGAUAUAUUAAGAUUACUAUAUUAUUAUAACAUAGAGACGCUAAUUCAUAUUGUUGAAAGUAAAUAAAAUAUAUAAAAGGUAUAAGGUUUCAUGCUAUUUGUGUUACGGUGGCGUUAAUAUAAUUUGAACCCGAAGCCUAAAGGUUGAAAAUAUACCUAAUUGGAAAAUAUAUUUGACGCAUAAAUAACGCACCAUAACAAUG